AGGUUGUUGGCAACCCAGAUGACGGGGAGACUUCUGCAGUUAAUUUAUAUAAUUAAUGAGAAGUUAGUCGUAGGGAAGAGUUUAUCUAGUUUAUUUUGUUUUGUCAUUUACUUUAUUGGGAUUCUUAGUGAAGUCCGUUUGUUUUUAAUUUUAGUAUGUGAGUCCUAUUUCUGAUCGAUUGUUAUCUUUUUAAGGUGUUUAAUUAUCUUUUGUCGAGUCGUAACCUUUCAUUUCUCCAUGGUCUUAAACUAUGGGUAGAAGGUUCGUUGUGUUUUGGUAUUUUUUUUUUCCUUUUUUCCCAUGUCAUCCUAAUAAAAUAAACUCUUCUCUGUUAAUGAAUUUGAGAUUGCGACAAUGAGCGAUGGAAUUAUUUCUCAUAGUCCUGAAUAAUGCUUUAUAUUGUUUAAAUAAAAAAUCUAUUAACCUAUAUAUACCGAUGUUGUAAAUAAUUUCUACUUUAUCAUUUUAACUUAUGUAGUAGGUAACUUGCCUUGUUUUUAAGAUGAAAAUAUUACCAGGUCUAAUUAACAUCCAAUAGUUAGAAUACAUAGUUAAUGUUUGUAUUUUAUAGCAAAUUAACCAUCCACACAAUUUAGAUAUCUCCCUCCUCCUCACAACCCUAAGAACCAUCUUGUCUCUCAAAACCUCUCUGCCGCUACCACUAGAUCGCGGCCAAACCGCCGAUGCGCUAGCACUGACGAGAAUUGCCGCCGCCGGCCAGCAGUCUCCAAAUGGGAUAGCAUAUAUUUGAUAUGACAAGCAUAUAUACGACUAUCAGGGGUAAGAACGGAGUACUUGAAAUGCUAGAUUUUUGCUCUAAUUCCCAUAUUUUUGCGUUGUGGUGACUUGAGUAUUAUAUUUGUGCCAUGCUGAUAAAUUCGAGCUAGCUAAAUACUAGAAAUGGGAAAGACUAGAGCCUAUAAUGGGAAAGAUGGGAGCAUAAUCCCUUACUUUUUCUACUAUUUUGCUAUAACUGAUAAUGUGUUGUUAUAUUUUGUAAUUUACUGUAAGAACCCUAAACAGGUCUAGUUAAGACUUAAAAAUAGCUUAUCGAUAUAAAUUCUCUAAAAAUUAGGUUGAAUAAUCAGUUUUCAUUAUGUUAUUUAUGAAUUUUUAGCCGGUGUUUGAAAAGUAAUACAGAAAUAACCACAUGUUAAUUAAAAAAAAAUUGAAGAAAAAUAUUACUACUUAAAACACGAAAGAACUUAUAAAGGUUUGAAUCCCUUGAAUUGUUCCUUGGUUUUGAACUUAUAUAAAGGUUUAAAACCAAGGAACAAUUCAUGGGCUUGAAACUCCAACAAAAUUUUGAACCAUGCAUCAAAAGUUCAAAACAAGGGAACGCUCGUAAGGUUUGAAAUAUCAGAAAAAAUUUGAACUCCAUAAAUUGUUCCUUGAGAUUUCCUUGUCAAUCUUUUGAAUUCUAGCAGUUUCUGCUGAAGUUGUUUCGUGUUUAAGUUGGAGGUAUUAUUUUUCAAUUUUUUUUUGGUAUCAAAAGAGUGGUCAAAUAUUAAUAAUUUUUAAAAGAGAUAAUGGUCAAAAAUACACCUGAACUAUCACUUUUUCGCGAGUUUCAUACCCCAACUAUCAACUGUUCCCUUUUACUACUUAAACUAUCACCAUCUAUGUAUUAAAACACACCUAGUUGAGUAGAUAGUGAUAGUUCAAGGAGAAAAAGAGAACAACUAAUAGUUGACCUAAUUAACUUCGAGGUGCGCUUUAAUACAUAGAUGACGAUAGUUCAGGUAGGAAAAGGAAACAGUUGAUAGUUUUUUUUUAUAAAGCAAAUCACUAACUGAAUAGUUAGUGGAGGUAUUUAUUAAAUAAAAUAAUUUUGGUCCACAAACAAAACAAGACAAAAGAAACAGUACAGAAGCAUCUUGAAACCAGAAACCAGUGAUUCAUCUAACCAAAAUUCACACCCACCGAUCUUAGCUCGAUUGAAAGAUCUAGCUGAAAUUCCUUCUCAAUAGCAGUACAAGCUUGAUUUCAGCUAAAAGCAGGCCUGAUUUCAGUUAUGAUGUUCAUUGAUAUCCGAGGUUGUCGUGGAGCACCCAAUUAAUGCCGGAGGAUUGAAGACAACCAAAGGAAAUUAGUGGAGAUGAAGUAUUAGAUAUCUUAUAUUAACUUUGAAUUGUAUUAUUAACUGGCAUGUAAUAAAUUUUUAUUAUUCUUGUAAAUUAGUUUUAGGAAGAGUUAUGGAAUGAUACAUAAAAGACAUGUUUGUCCUUCAAAUGUUCGUUAGGCCUACCUCUGGCAUAAAGAGGUCCCUUGCAUUAUAGAACGCGAUGUAUUAUGUGCAAUAAUAUGUCCUUA